GGGUUGUGAGGUUAAGCGACUAAGCGUACACGGUGGAUGCCCUGGCAGUCAGAGGCGAUGAAGGACGUGCUAAUCUGCGAUAAGCGUCGGUAAGGUGAUAUGAACCGUUAUAACCGGCGAUUUCCGAAUGGGGAAACCCAGUGUGUUUCGACACACUAUCAUUAACUGAAUCCAUAGGUUAAUGAGGCGAACCGGGGGAACUGAAACAUCUAAGUACCCCGAGGAAAAGAAAUCAACCGAGAUUCCCCCAGUAGCGGCGAGCGAACGGGGAGCAGCCCAGAGCCUGAAUCAGUGUGUGUGUUAGUGGAAGCGUCUGGAAAGGCGCGCGAUACAGGGUGACAGCCCCGUACACAAAAAUGCACAUAUUGUGAGCUCGAUGAGUAGGGCGGGACACGUGGUAUCCUGUCUGAAUAUGGGGGGACCAUCCUCCAAGGCUAAAUACUCCUGACUGACCGAUAGUGAACCAGUACCGUGAGGGAAAGGCGAAAAGAACCCCGGCGAGGGGAGUGAAAAAGAACCUGAAACCGUGUACGUACAAGCAGUGGGAGCCUCUUUUAUGGGGUGACUGCGUACCUUUUGUAUAAUGGGUCAGCGACUUAUAUUCUGUAGCAAGGUUAACCGAAUAGGGGAGCCGAAGGGAAACCGAGUCUUAACUGGGCGUUAAGUUGCAGGGUAUAGACCCGAAACCCGGUGAUCUAGCCAUGGGCAGGUUGAAGGUUGGGUAACACUAACUGGAGGACCGAACCGACUAAUGUUGAAAAAUUAGCGGAUGACUUGUGGCUGGGGGUGAAAGGCCAAUCAAACCGGGAGAUAGCUGGUUCUCCCCGAAAGCUAUUUAGGUAGCGCCUCGUGAAUUCAUCUCCGGGGGUAGAGCACUGUUUCGGCAAGGGGGUCAUCCCGACUUACCAACCCGAUGCAAACUGCGAAUACCGGAGAAUGUUAUCACGGGAGACACACGGCGGGUGCUAACGUCCGUCGUGAAGAGGGAAACAACCCAGACCGCCAGCUAAGGUCCCAAAGUCAUGGUUAAGUGGGAAACGAUGUGGGAAGGCCCAGACAGCCAGGAUGUUGGCUUAGAAGCAGCCAUCAUUUAAAGAAAGCGUAAUAGCUCACUGGUCGAGUCGGCCUGCGCGGAAGAUGUAACGGGGCUAAACCAUGCACCGAAGCUGCGGCAGCGACACUGUGUGUUGUUGGGUAGGGGAGCGUUCUGUAAGCCUGUGAAGGUGUGCUGUGAGGCAUGCUGGAGGUAUCAGAAGUGCGAAUGCUGACAUAAGUAACGAUAAAGCGGGUGAAAAGCCCGCUCGCCGGAAGACCAAGGGUUCCUGUCCAACGUUAAUCGGGGCAGGGUGAGUCGACCCCUAAGGCGAGGCCGAAAGGCGUAGUCGAUGGGAAACAGGUUAAUAUUCCUGUACUUGGUGUUACUGCGAAGGGGGGACGGAGAAGGCUAUGUUGGCCGGGCGACGGUUGUCCCGGUUUAAGCGUGUAGGCUGGUUUUCCAGGCAAAUCCGGAAAAUCAAGGCUGAGGCGUGAUGACGAGGCACUACGGUGCUGAAGCAACAAAUGCCCUGCUUCCAGGAAAAGCCUCUAAGCAUCAGGUAACAUCAAAUCGUACCCCAAACCGACACAGGUGGUCAGGUAGAGAAUACCAAGGCGCUUGAGAGAACUCGGGUGAAGGAACUAGGCAAAAUGGUGCCGUAACUUCGGGAGAAGGCACGCUGAUAUGUAGGUGAAGUCCCUCGCGGAUGGAGCUGAAAUCAGUCGAAGAUACCAGCUGGCUGCAACUGUUUAUUAAAAACACAGCACUGUGCAAACACGAAAGUGGACGUAUACGGUGUGACGCCUGCCCGGUGCCGGAAGGUUAAUUGAUGGGGUCAGCGCAAGCGAAGCUCUUGAUCGAAGCCCCGGUAAACGGCGGCCGUAACUAUAACGGUCCUAAGGUAGCGAAAUUCCUUGUCGGGUAAGUUCCGACCUGCACGAAUGGCGUAAUGAUGGCCAGGCUGUCUCCACCCGAGACUCAGUGAAAUUGAACUCGCUGUGAAGAUGCAGUGUACCCGCGGCAAGACGGAAAGACCCCGUGAACCUUUACUAUAGCUUGACACUGAACAUUGAGCCUUGAUGUGUAGGAUAGGUGGGAGGCUUUGAAGUGUGGACGCCAGUCUGCAUGGAGCCGACCUUGAAAUACCACCCUUUAAUGUUUGAUGUUCUAACGUUGACCCGUGAUCCGGGUUGCGGACAGUGUCUGGUGGGUAGUUUGACUGGGGCGGUCUCCUCCUAAAGAGUAACGGAGGAGCACGAAGGUUGGCUAAUCCUGGUCGGACAUCAGGAGGUUAGUGCAAUGGCAUAAGCCAGCUUGACUGCGAGCGUGACGGCGCGAGCAGGUGCGAAAGCAGGUCAUAGUGAUCCGGUGGUUCUGAAUGGAAGGGCCAUCGCUCAACGGAUAAAAGGUACUCCGGGGAUAACAGGCUGAUACCGCCCAAGAGUUCAUAUCGACGGCGGUGUUUGGCACCUCGAUGUCGGCUCAUCACAUCCUGGGGCUGAAGUAGGUCCCAAGGGUAUGGCUGUUCGCCAUUUAAAGUGGUACGCGAGCUGGGUUUAGAACGUCGUGAGACAGUUCGGUCCCUAUCUGCCGUGGGCGCUGGAGAACUGAGGGGGGCUGCUCCUAGUACGAGAGGACCGGAGUGGACGCAUCACUGGUGUUCGGGUUGUCAUGCCAAUGGCACUGCCCGGUAGCUAAAUGCGGAAGAGAUAAGUGCUGAAAGCAUCUAAGCACGAAACUUGCCCCGAGAUGAGUUCUCCCUGACCCUUUAAGGGUCCUGAAGGAACGUUGAAGACGACGACGUUGAUAGGCCGGGUGUGUAAGCGCAGCGAUGCGUUGAGCUAACCGGUACUAAUGAACCGUGAGGCUUAACCUUACAACGCCGAAG
rnacentral:rRNA from 1 species